GACGUGUGGGUGGGGCCAGGAGGGAUGGGUUCUCCCUCGGGUGCUUAGCCCCGCCCCCGUCCCACUCUGCCCUGUUGCUGUCGCGCCGCCGCUGGCUGCUGUCCCUGGACCCCUACCAUGGAGAAGACCAUCGAAGAUCCCCCCACAUCAGCUGUCUUGCUGGAUCACUGUCAUUUCUCUCAGGUCAUCUUUAACAGUGUGGAGAAGUUCUACAUCCCUGGAGGGGACGUCACAUGUCGUUAUACCUUCACCCAGAAUUUCAUCCCUCGUCAAAAGGAUUGGAUUGGCAUCUUUAGAGUGGGAUGGAAGACAGUCCGUGAGUAUUAUACCUUCAUGUGGGUUACUUUGCCCAUUGACCUAAACAACAAAUCAACUAAACAGCAGGAAGUCCAAUUCAAAGCUUACUACCUGCCCAAGGAUGAUGAGUAUUACCAGUUCUGCUAUGUGGAUCAGGAUGGCGUGGUCCGGGGAGCAAGUAUUCCUUUCCAGUUCCGUCCAGAAAAUGAGGAAGACAUCCUGGUUGUUACCACUCAGGGAGAGGUAGAAGAGAUUGAGCAGCACAACAAGGAGCUUUGCAAAGAAAACCAGGAGCUGAAGGAUAGCUGUGUCAGCCUCCAGAAGCAGAACUCAGACAUGCAGGCUGAGCUCCAAAAGAAGCAGGAGGAGCUAGAAACCCUACAGAGCAUCAAUAAGAAGUUGGAACUGAAAGUGAAAGAACAGAAGGACUAUUGGGAGACAGAGUUGCUUCAACUGAAAGAACAAAACCAGAAGAUGUCCUCAGAAAAUGAGAAGAUGGGAAUCAGAGUGGAUCAGCUUCAGGCCCAGUUGUCAACUCAAGAGAAAGAAAUGGAGAAGCUUGUUCAGGGAGAUCAAGAUAAGACAGAGCAGUUAGAGCACCUGAAAAAGGAAAAUGGCCACCUCUUUCUCAGUUUAACUGAACAGAGGAAGGACCAGAAGAAGCUCGAGCAGACAGUGGAGGAAAUGAAGCAGAAUGAAACUAUGGCAAUGAAGAAACAACAGGAAUUAAUGGAUGAAAACUUUGACCUGUCAAGAAGACUGAGUGAGAAGAAAAUGAUAUAUAAUGCUCUGCAGAGAGAGAAAGAGAGAUUGGAAGGAGAAAAUGAUACCAGGAGCAGAAGUGGUGGUCUCUACCAGUGCUGGACCCAUGCUUUUGAAGAGGGAGAACAGCAGAUUGCUCAGUUACAUGGGUCUGGAUUUUAAUUCUUUGCCGUAUCAAGUACCUACUUCAGAUGAAGGAGGCGCAGGACAAAAUCCAGGACUUGUCUAUGGAAACCCGUAUUCUGGUAUCCAAGAAAGUUCUUCCCCCAGCCAGCUCUCCAUCAAGAAAUGCCCUGUCUGCAAAGCAGAUGAUAUUUGUGAUCACACCUUGGAGCAACAGCAGAUGCAGGCCCUUUGUUUGAAUUGUCCAAUUUGUGACAAGAUCUUCCCAGCUACAGAGAAGCAGAUCUUUGAAGACCAUGUGUUCUGCCACUCUCUCUGAGUGUCCCAACCUCUUGGAUGUGUACAGAGAUUUUAUAGAGUAGAACCUGUAGCUUCUGCCAUGAGUUAUAUGAGUCAAGAUCCUGCCUAACCUGAAAUUAUUAGGGAUUUACUCAGCCCUGCUGCCACUAAUAGUGGAGUUGUGUCACUGAUCUGAAGGUCACUGUUAAGGACUUCUGCUGCCAUCCUUGUGGGUUGCUACCUUUAAGUCACAUAACUCUAGCUGUAUCAUCCUCUCACCUAUCAUUAUUCCGAGGGUCUCAGUACAAGGGCCCUGGGAUGGAGCCAUGGUGGGUAUUCACAACAGGCCUGACUUGAUACUAAGUGAUUGGUUUUCCUAGUUGUCCCACUGCCAUUCAAAGUCAGCCCUUGAGUGUAUUUGUUCUCAGUCCUAACCCUGGGGCCAGAGAUCGGUCCGAGGUUGAGAAUUCUUCCACCUCAUCCUCGGUGUUUUUCUCCAAAUGAUUGCGUUAGACUAGCCAAAAAUGCCAUGGCAAAGAGCUCAGAAGUCCAGUUUGGAUACCAAAGGUUUCUCAUGUUAAUUUCUCAGCCCCCAAAGAAGCAUCUUACUCCUGAACCUUAGACAGGAAGUAUUAUUUCAGUCACAGAAAGCUUUUCUGGGUACCUCUGGUCAGCACUUUCUACUCUCUGAUAUUUCCUAUGUACAUAGCUUGUAUUGUUGUAAAUCCUUUCUUAAUGGUUAAAUAGGGAUUGUUAGCAGCUAUGGAUUUGCAGUUUUCUGAUAGGUGAGUUUUGAAUAUGGAUAAGUCAGAAUAAUGAGACAACUUGUUAAUCUCUUUAAUACUAAAAAUAAAUUACUCUUCUAUUUCAGGGACUUAGGUAAUUUAAAGUAAACCUUCAGUUUAUAGUCUUUUAUUUUGAAGCUCAUGGGAAAACUGUGAUCAAACGGACUAUGGGAAGGACAGACCCCACCAAUGAUUUCUCUUCACCUGUCUUCAGUAUUAAACAAAAAAGAGUGUCCUAGUGUCCUGGCAGUUAUCUUGAGGUGGGGAAGGAGGUGAUGAAACAUUAGUUUGUGAAAUCC